CCUACGGGGGGCUGCAGUGGGGAAUAUUGGACAAUGGGCGAAAGCCUGAUCCAGCCAUGCCGCGUGUGUGAAGAAGGCCUUCGGGUUGUAAAGCACUUUCAGUGGGGAAGAAAGCCUUGGGGCUAAUACCCUCGAGGAAGGACAUCACCCACAGAAGAAGCACCGGCUAACUCCGUGCCAGCAGCCGCGGUAAUACGGAGGGUGCGAGCGUUAAUCGGAAUUACUGGGCGUAAAGCGCGCGUAGGCGGUCUGAUAAGCCGGUUGUGAAAGCCCCGGGCUCAACCUGGGAACGGCAUCCGGAACUGGCAGGCUAGAGUGCAGGAGAGGAAGGUAGAAUUCCCGGUGUAGCGGUGAUAUGCGUAGAGAUCGGGAGGAAUACCAGUGGCGAAGGCGGCCUUCUGGACUGACACUGACGCUGAGGUGCGAAAGCGUGGGUAGCAAACAGGAUUAGAUACCCUAGUAGUC
rnacentral:rRNA from 1 species